GAAGGUAUAGCUCAGUGGUAGAGUGCAUGCUUGGCAUGCACAAGGUCAUGGGUUCAAUCCCCAGAACCUCCA
rnacentral:tRNA from 1 species